rfam:Gossypium hirsutum cultivar TM-1 chromosome 6, whole genome shotgun sequence
UGUUAAAAAUUUCAUCCUUUUGUACUGUUAGAAACUGGAUUGGCUAACAGAAUAAUCAUAUAAUGACAUGUGGCAUGUUCCGUGUACAUAUAGUAACCAGUUUUUAACCGUAUAUAUGGAUAGAAUUCUUAAUA